GCCGGCUGUGCGGGCCAGGGAGACAGGGUUCGUUCCACGGCUGAGGGGCUGCGAACGUGCGGGAGUAGGUCCAAUGAUAGAGAGUGAAAGCCUGACUUUUCUUCUCCAAGUCUAAAUGCAAAAGACAACUCAGCAAGUCCCGCAUAUAAUUCGAAACUGUAAGCUUAAACAUUUGAAACGCACCAGGCUGGAGAUUCAACUGGACAAGCGCUCAGAGAGAUUGUCUGUGAACAGCAGCAGUUGCUGGAUUGUGCAUCAGCUGAAUAUGGCCAUUGUCCUGCAAAAACUCCUCUGCAAAAGAUCCUCAACUUGUUUGUGUGUCUGGACUGAAAACUCUACAACCAUCAUUGGCUGUCUUCAAAAUAAACAUGAUCUAUCGUUUUUGUCUGAAAAGGAAUGCCAUUUGUGGUCCUCAAUUAUGUUUCUCGCAUGA
rnacentral:lncRNA from 1 species